GGAGCUGUGGCUCAGUGGUAGAGCAUCUGCUUGUCACGCAGGAGGUCUCAGGUUCAAUACCUGACACCUCUG